UCCAGAGGGUGCAAGCGUUAAUCGGAAUUACUGGGCGUAAAGCGUGCGUAGACGGUAGCGUAAGUCGGGUGUGAAAGCCCCGGGCUCAACCUGGGAAUGGCAUUCGAGACUGCUCUGCUAGGGUGCGGAAGAGGGGAGCGGAAUUUCCGGUGUAGCGGUGAAAUGCGUAGAUAUCGGAAGGAACACCAGUGGCGAAAGCGGCUCCCUGGUCCAGCACCGACGUUCAGGCACGAAAGCGUGGGGAGCAAACAGG
rnacentral:rRNA from 1 species